rnacentral:rRNA from 1 species
AGAGUUUGAUCCUGGCUCAGGAUGAACGCUAGCUACAGGCUUAACACAUGCAAGUCGAGGGGCAGCAUGGUCUUAGCUUGCUAAGGCCGAUGGCGACCGGCGCACGGGUGAGUAACACGUAUCCAACCUGCCGUCUACUCUUGGACAGCCUUCUGAAAGGAAGAUUAAUACAAGAUGGCAUCAUGAGUCCGCAUGUUCACAUGAUUAAAGGUAUUCCGGUAGACGAUGGGGAUGCGUUCCAUUAGAUAGUAGGCGGGGUAACGGCCCACCUAGUCUUCGAUGGAUAGGGGUUCUGAGAGGAAGGUCCCCCACAUUGGAACUGAGACACGGUCCAAACUCCUACGGGAGGCAGCAGUGAGGAAUAUUGGUCAAUGGGCGAGAGCCUGAACCAGCCAAGUAGCGUGAAGGAUGACUGCCCUAUGGGUUGUAAACUUCUUUUAUAAAGGAAUAAAGUCGGGUAUGCAUACCCGUUUGCAUGUACUUUAUGAAUAAGGAUCGGCUAACUCCGUGCCAGCAGCCGCGGUAAUACGGAGGAUCCGAGCGUUAUCCGGAUUUAUUGGGUUUAAAGGGAGCGUAGAUGGAUGUUUAAGUCAGUUGUGAAAGUUUGCGGCUCAACCGUAAAAUUGCAGUUGAUACUGGAUAUCUUGAGUGCAGUUGAGGCAGGCGGAAUUCGUGGUGUAGCGGUGAAAUGCUUAGAUAUCACGAAGAACUCCGAUUGCGAAGGCAGCCUGCUAAGCUGCAACUAACAUUGAGGCUCGAAAGUGUGGGUAUCAAACAGGAUUAGAUACCCUGGUAGUCCACACGGUAAACGAUGAAUACUCGCUGUUUGCGAUAUACAGCAAGCGGCCAAGCGAAAGCGUUAAGUAUUCCACCUGGGGAGUACGCCGGCAACGGUGAAACUCAAAGGAAUUGACGGGGGCCCGCACAAGCGGAGGAACAUGUGGUUUAAUUCGAUGAUACGCGAGGAACCUUACCCGGGCUUAAAUUGCAGAUGAAUUACGGUGAAAGCCGUAAGCCGCAAGGCAUCUGUGAAGGUGCUGCAUGGUUGUCGUCAGCUCGUGCCGUGAGGUGUCGGCUUAAGUGCCAUAACGAGCGCAACCCUUGUUGUCAGUUGCUAACAGGUUCCGCUGAGGACUCUGACAAGACUGCCAUCGUAAGAUGUGAGGAAGGUGGGGAUGACGUCAAAUCAGCACGGCCCUUACGUCCGGGGCUACACACGUGUUACAAUGGGGGGUACAGAGGGCCGCUACCACGCGAGUGGAUGCCAAUCCCAAAAACCUCUCAGUUCGGACUGGAGUCUGCAACCCGACUCCACGAAGCUGGAUUCGCUAGUAAUCGCGCAUCAGCCACGGCGCGGUGAAUACGUUCCCGGGCCUUGUACACACCGCCCGUCAAGCCAUGGGAGCCGGGGGUACCUGAAGUGCGUAACCGCGAGGAGCGCCCUAGGGUAAAACUGGUGACUGGGGCUAAGUCGUAACAAGGUA